rnacentral:snRNA from 1 species
GUUCUCAUAUUGGUAGCACAUAUACUAAAAUUAGAAUAAUAUAGAGAAGAAUACCAUGGCCCCUGUACAAGGAUGACAUGCAAAUUUGUGAAGUGUUCCAUAUUUUC